UACGGAGGAUGCAAGCGUUAUCCGGAAUGAUUGGGCGUAAAGCGUCCGCAGGUGGCUGUGUAAGUCUGCUGGUCAAAGAGCAAAGCUCAACUUUGUAAAGGCAGUGGAAACUACACGGCUAGAGUGCGUUCGGGGCAGAGGGAAUUCCUGGUGUAGCGGUGAAAUGCGUAGAUAUCGUAAGGAAGACCAGUGGCGAAAGGCGGGUCUCUGGACAGUUCCUAGACACGUGAGA
rnacentral:rRNA from 1 species